GGUAUAUAUUCAUCAUGAGAAUCAGAUGA
rnacentral:snRNA from 1 species